rnacentral:rRNA from 1 species
GCAGUGGGGAAUCUUGGACAAUGGGGGCAAGCCUGAUCCAGCCAUGCCGCGUGAGUGAUGAAGGCCUUAGGGUCGUAAAGCUCUUUCGCCUGGGAAGAUAAUGACGGUACCWGGUAAAGAAACCCCGGCUAACUCCGUGCCAGCAGCCGCGGUAAUACGGAGGGGGUUAGCGUUGUUCGGAAUUACUGGGCGUAAAGCGCACGUAGGCGGAUUAKUAAGUYAGRGGUGAAAUCCCGGGGCUCAACCCCGGAACUGCCUUURAUACUGSUAGUCUUGAGUUCGAGAGAGGUGAGUGGAAUUCCGAGUGUAGAGGUGAAAUUCGUAGAUAUUCGGAGGAACACCAGUGGCGAAGGCGGCUCACUGGCUCGAUACUGACGCUGAGGUGCGAAAGUGUGGGGAGCAAACAGG